rnacentral:rRNA from 1 species
UACGUAGGUGGCAAGCGUUGUCCGGAAUUAUUGGGCGUAAAGCGCGCGCAGGCGGUCCCUUAAGUCUGAUGUGAAAGCCCACGGCUCAACCGUGGAGGGUCAUUGGAAACUGGGGGACUUGAGUACAGAAGAGGAAAGCGGAAUUCCGGGUGUAGCGGUGGAAUGCGUAGAGAUCCGGAGGAAGACCGGUGGCGAAGGCGGCCUGACUGGGC